rnacentral:rRNA from 1 species
UGAGCGGAUGGUGGAUGCCUUGGGAGAUUGAGGCGAUGAAGGACGUAGGGUGCUUGCGAUAAGCCUCGGGGAGGUGGCUACCAACCUUUGAUCCGGGGAUUUCCCAAUGGGGAAACCUGAUUUUGCGAUAAGCAAAAUCACCGAGCACAUAAAUUAUGUGCUUGGGGCGUACCCGCUGAAGUGAAACAUCUCAGUAAGCGGAGGAAAAGAAAAAGUAAUUUUUAUUCCCUGAGUAGCGGCGAGCGAAAAGGGAAGAGCCUAGAGUUUAGUUAGCUAGUUUUCUAGUUAACUAGGCAGUUGAAAGUUAGGAACGUUCCAGAGCAAUCUGGACAGAGCCUACAAAAUUGUGAUUUGAUUAGUCGAAUUUCCCUGGAAAGGGAAGUCAGAGAGGGUAAUAGCCCCGUAGACGAAAAUCAUCACAUGCUCUGAGUUUCUAUACUUAAGUACGGCGGGAAAUGAAAGUCCUGCCGGAAGCAAGCCAGACUAACUGGCUAAGGCUAAAUACUCAAUCUCACCGAUAGUGAACCAGUACCGUGAGGGAAAGGUGAAAAGUAGGGAGGUGAUCCCGGUGAAAUAGAACCUGAAACCAUCUCGCUUACGAAAAGUCGAAGCCCGCAAGGGUGACGGCGUACUUUUUGGAGAACGAACCAACGACUUUAUUUCCUUCGCUAGUUUAAGGGGGGUUCCCCCGAAAGCAAAGUGAAAGCAAGCCUUAAUAGGGCGUGAGCGGAGGAAGUAAGACCCGAAGCCAAGCGAGCUUGCCAUGGCCAGGGUGAACCCGAGCGAAAGUUAGGGGGAGGCCCGAACCCGUGGACCGUGCAAUAUCUUGGGAUGAGCUGUGGCAAGAAGCGAAAAACUAAACGAGCUUGGUAAUAGCUGGUUCUCCCCGAAAUAGCUUUGGGGCUAGCGUCUUUGCUCAUUUUCGCAGGUAGAGCACUGGAAGAGAUGUCGUGCCGAAAGGUAGAUAUCUUUACCAAACUCCGAAUGGCGAGAAGUAAAAAGGCAAAGGCAGUCAGACCUUGGGGGCUAAGCUCCAAGGUCAAAAGGGAAACAGCCCUGAUCUUCAUCUAAGGUCCCUAAACUGAGCUAAGUGAUAAAGGAAGUGCCCCGGCCUUGACAGUUAGGAGGUUGGCUUAGAGGUAGCCAUCCUUUAAAGAGUGUGUAACAACUCACUAUCCUAGUUCCUGUCAAGGAGCAAGGGCGGGGUGCGCCGAAGAUUUCCGGGACUAAAGCUCAGUACCGAAGAUAAGAUCCCCCACCAAUUUUUGGUGGGGGAGGUAGGGGAGCGUUCGUAACGCUGCGAAGUGGAAGGGUGACCGACCAUGGAGCGUUGCGAAGUGAGAAUGUUGGUAUGAGUAACCGCAAUGGCAGUGAAAUUCUGCCCGACCGAAAGCCCAAGGUUUCCUUGGCAAUGGCGAUCAACCAAGGGUUAGGCGGGCCUAAGCCCUCUCCCGAAAGGGAUGGGUGAUGGACAGCCGGUCAAUAUUCCGGCCCGUCCGUUAGAUAAAUUUAAGGCGACGCAGUUGAAGUUCUUGAGAAGGUUAUUGGAUUCCGACCCCGCCCUCUAUGCUCGUGACCAAGUUUAAUAACUUUAUUGUAUUUUUUAAUAGUGCGAUAAGUUAGUUAACUUCGGUGGUGGGCUUAGAGGGCGGGGGCCUCAAGAAUCAAACUGCCCAGAAAAACCUUAAAGAGUCAUAUCUAAUGGGCUCCGUACCGCAAACCGACACAGGUGGGCUGGUGUAAGAGCACCAAGGUCAAUGGGUGAAACCUCGUUAAGGAACUCGGCAAAAAAGCGUCCGUAACUUUGGAAUAUGGACUGCCCUGAUGAUAAAUCAGGGCUGCAACAAACGUACCCCUGGCGACUGUUUAACAAAAACACAGGUCCCUGCUUAAUUGGUAACAAGAUGUAUAGGGACUGAGGCCUGACCAGUGCCCGUGUGUUAUCCUUGCCGGUCCAGGCAUAUAACUUGUUAUGUGCUCGGGCUGAGUGAGUUAAGCCACGGGUGAACGUCGGCGGUAACUCUGACCGUCUUAAAGUAGCGUAACCCCUUGUCAGGUAAGUUCUGACCCGCAUGAAAGGCUUCACGACUAGGGGACUGUCUCAACGAGGCGCCCGGUGAAAAUGCUAUAAGCGUGAAGAAGCGCUUUACCUGCGGCUAGACGGAAAGACCCCGGGAGCUUUACUGUAGGGUGGUAUUGAACUUUGGGCUUUGAUGCGUAGAGUAGUGGGGAGGCUUUGAAGUUCUGGUUUCGGCCAGAAUGGAGCCGACAAUGAAACACCCAUCUUUGAAGUUUAAAAUUCUAACCCGAAAGGAAACAGUGCCACUCGNNNNNNNNNNNNNNNNNNNNNNNNNNNNNCUCCUAAAAGGUAAUGGAGGCGUUUAAAGGUCGGCUAGCUCCGGAUGGAAAUCGGAGUGGUCGGGCAAAGCCAAAAGCCGGCUUUACUGCAAGAGGGAUAUCUCGCGCAGUUGCGAAAGCAGAACUUAGUGAACCGACGGAUUUUAGUAGAAAAUCCGAAGAUCAUCAGCCAAAAGUUACCCCGGGGAUAGACUCUGAAAUAAGAGUUGUUGUCCAACCCAUUCCGUAAGGAUGGGAAUGUACGGCUUAUAACGGUGAACCAAAAACCGGUCUUCCUCUUUUUGAGGUUUUGAGUUUUUGGAAUACCGUGGGAAGUCUUCGUGACCCCGUAACGACUUGUCUGCGAUUGCGGACAGGGUGAGGGUAAAAUCCUCGCCAAUACGCCGUCCCCCCUCCUCCAGAGGAGGGGGUGAAGAUAUAGUCUAAUCUUAAAAAGAUUGAACAGGCUAGUAGGGCCCGCAAGUUCACAUUAACGGCCCUGUUCGGCACCUCGAUGUCGGCUCAUCACAUCCUGGAGGUGGAGAAGCUUCCAAG